GCCGGGCGUGGUGGCGCCCGCCUGUAAUCCCAGCUACUCAGGAGGCUGAGGCAGGAGAAUCGCUUGAGCCUGGGAGGCGGAGGUUGCGGUGAGCUGAGAUAGCGCCACCGCACUCCAGCCUGGGUGAUAGAGCGAGACUCCGUCUCAG
ensembl:misc_RNA Metazoa_SRP Metazoan signal recognition particle RNA